rnacentral:rRNA from 1 species
GAUGAACGCUGGCGGCGUGCUUAACACAUGCAAGUCGAGCGAAGCACCUUGACGGAUUUCUUCGGAUUGAAGCCUUGGUGACUGAGCGGCGGACGGGUGAGUAACGCGUGGGUAACCUGCCUCAUACAGGGGGAUAACAGUUGGAAACGGCUGCUAAUACCGCAUAAGCGCACAGUACCGCAUGGUACGGUGUGAAAAACUCCGGUGGUAUGAGAUGGACCCGCGUCUGAUUAGGUAGUUGGUGGGGUAACGGCCUACCAAGCCGACGAUCAGUAGCCGACCUGAGAGGGUGACCGGCCACAUUGGGACUGAGACACGGCCCAAACUCCUACGGGAGGCAGCAGUGGGGAAUAUUGCACAAUGGGGGAAACCCUGAUGCAGCGACGCCGCGUGAGCGAUGAAGUAUUUCGGUAUGUAAAGCUCUAUCAGCAGGGAAGAAAAUGACGGUACCUGACUAAGAAGC